UAUGUGCGAGAUGUUAUAAACCAGAGGUACAAAUGAAACUUUUUGGACCAAUGACCUCACUGAUUACAGUAAAGUAAUGCUAACAUUAAAUAUAAAAUUGUAUUUGUAUUGAAUUACACGGCUACCAUCGGGCCUAGGCAAAACAAAUAAAGCAAUACCUGUUAUUAGUAUAACAGGUCAGAACCGAGUGAAAAUGUUUCUCGGACCGGAGUUUACCUGCUAUAAAACAUUUCACCAUCACAAUAUAAACCUUCUGCUGUCUGUUUAAAUAUUAAGUCGUUUGAAAGAACGUCAUAAAAUCAAACAAGAUGUACGCAUGCGUGGUAAUAGUGGCGCGUGCACAGGGCGCGUGCACGUGGACCUUAUAAGACCCUCAGUCACUUCCGCUCGCUCUCUCUUUCAUUCCGGCUCUGUGGAGGACAGGCUGGCGUGCAGAAGCUAUUGAGGAUGGCAGAGUUGUGAAGGUGAACGCGCACACAGUUGAAAGGUGUGUUAACUCUUUGGGGACGUGAGCAUCGCCUGCGAGUUUCAGCAUGGUCAGGUUCACUAGUGUCCUCUUUCUCUCUUUACAGCAUGAAGGGAUUUGAUCUUACACACACGACUAAAAUACAGAAUCUGUAGAGUCUCAGCUUUCAGAUGAUCUCACAUGUGGAGAACAUAAACAUUUUAUAUAAUCUCUAAAUUGUAGAGAAGUUGUAGUUUGUUCCUGUGGUGAAAAGUGAAACGUGGUCUCCUCCUCCUGUUCACAUAUUAAUGACAUGUUAAUGUUUUUCAGGAGCAGGAUAGGUACAUGCUGAUGGAACACUCAGGUAGACUUUUGUGCAGGAACCUUGUGUGUUACAGUAAUUCUAGUAAACUGUGUACUGACUUGAUUGUGCACUAAAUCCCUACAAUACUACAUGUUCCUUUUAUUCUGAUGUUAAAGUGCUGAAAUAAGUGUGUUCUACAAUAAAGUGAUGAAAUGUGUGAAGUUGUAUCGUCGUUCUUGCUGACUUUUCUCCUUAUUUACACAUACUGUUGACCAUAUGAACUGUUGGAAUUUAAGUGGAUUUUUAAAAAAAAUAUUUUAAAAAUUUGCAUUAUCCACACCUGUAAGCUGAGCUUUAGAGUAAACUCUGGUGACUUUAAGUAACACAUUGGGAGUUGAGAGUGGAGUACUGGAGCCAAGGAGAGCUUUUUAAGUUCUCAAACACACACUGGCAGACAGGAGACCAAACUGCUCGAGUGCACCCGGGCUUUGAGGAUGAUUGGCUGAUGCCCAGUUACAUUAAUAUUCAGUUGGUGCAGGAUCUCCACAAAUGUUUGAGGUGAGCAAUUUGAGCUUCAGAAUAUCAAAAAUGGACAGAACUUGAGAGAAGGCCCCAAUGAUGGGAUUUGCUGCACUACAAUCCAUUACCUGGUACGUUAGUCAAUGGGUACUGGUUCCUCCAUUUAGAGCUAGGGGACGGCUACAAGGUUGAUGGUGAAGUAAUCAGGUGCAGAUUUUAUAGGGUUCAAUUUCCUGCUAUUAGGAUCUGAUAUAACUAGCUAACAAUCUUUCAUUAGAAAAUUGUAUGUUUUUGUCAAGUCUAGUGACCUGUCUGAUCAUGGGCCACAUUUUAAAACAAAAAAAAAAACCUCCCAACCUUGUAGAAUGACUUGAAGGGUUGGGCACAUGAGAUCCCAUGGCUAUCUGAUAGAUCUGCAAGAAUUGCAAGGAAAAGUGGAAUGAAAUUGCCAAAAGAAGACGUGCCAAGUUUGUGAACUCUUGUCUGAAAACACUGAGUGCUGAAUUCCCUAAAACCUUUCUCUUUGUUUUUCACUGGAAGUUUGUUGGGUGCUUUAUGACAUUAAAGAUGGAUAAAUUACAAAAAAAACCCCUCAUUUUUCAGGGGUGUGUAGACUUUUUAUAUAUGAAAUGACACUUUUUCCAGUCAGAUCUUUUACAGACAGCACACGGCAGUGGGACAGAGCUAAGGAAGUAGACUUGAUGUUCACUCUGAGAUUUACUCUUUGGUCAGUUGGACUUCCAGUGACUUUCCCAAACAAAAAGUUUUGGUUGAAGUUUCCCAAUGACAGAUUUUCUAUUACAGUUGGACACGGGCAGAGAAAGGUCUGGUGGAAAGAAGAACAUAUUCACCUUUUAAUAGUUCUCCUGUAGGUUAGGGUUAUUCUGAUACGUCACCGGUUGUUCAGGCAAAGAGAUACUGCUCUAUGACAAUUCAAUUAAAUAAACUUAAAGUGACAUUUUUAACCUUACAGGCAUCACCGCAGUACUGACACUGACAUUUACAAUCAACUAAAUUCAACACGAGUUUUCUCUCGUUGUUUUAUAAGAUACUGGAUUGUCAGAAUGUACUCUUCUGGAAUACGUUCAUAUGCACAUAUAACGGCCAUUUAAUCUCACAUACACACACAUACACGUACACAUAUACACACAACCUGGUUUCACAGUUUACUCUCCAAACAAUUCUGUGGAUCCAUUCUUCCAGUACGUUCUCUGAUCAUAUAAACACUUCACUGUUUUUUGUUCUCAUUACUGACUGUUUUUUUUUUUUUUUUAAAAAACAACAACUAUUUAUUGUCCACGCUCUUAAUUAGACCCUCACUCAGGUCAGAAUUUUUGUCCUUUUUGUUACUGACUGUCGCACUCCAGCCCUCAUGCUCCAUGUUCCAGGUUAUUCAUCACUACAGAUUACUUCAGCUGCUUUCACUGGUUCUAAGUUGCUCAGGAUAAAAGGAUCUGCUAAACACCUGCACAUAAAUGGUGAUGUAAAUCAUAUGAUAAUGAACUUCCUAAACUCUGUAUCCUGCUUUUGUCCUCCAGACCAGACUGGAUUUGUUUGUAGCAGUCAUGUGACCUGGCCACGCCUUCAAGAACUUCAAAAAGAGUUUCCAUGUGUCAGUGUUAAACGUCCCAUCAGAAGGAUUUCUUACAGAUUUCUUACAUAAUUCAUCGUGUUCCAGGUUUCACUUUAUUUUGGAAGAUGGAGCAGCGAAGUCUCCUGGAGAAUGAACUUCUUCUUCUUCUUCUGCAUUGUGAAAGUUGGAUGGAGUUCGGCAGGGCUGUAACCUGAGCUCAGGUAUGAAUAGUAAUCAGGUAAAAGCUCACACCUCAUUCAUAUUCAGUGAGGACGAGCGAUUGGUCCCGCCUUUACCUCUUCAUGUAGUGAAGAAGUGAGGACAUCACCACACUUUUAUCCAUUUAUUUCUACAUCUGACUGGUCACUACAAUAUUUUCAGAUGUUUCCAUGCCCAGCACCUCAGUGAAUCAGUUUAUGUAACAGAAUCAGUUUGUCCCUGAUGGAUAAGGUGUGUUUUUACAGGAUUUCUGCACACAGUCAUGACAACAGUUUACAAUCUCUGUGUUUUUAUACCAAAUUAAUAACCUG